rfam:Myotis davidii contig62144, whole genome shotgun sequence.
GAGAUACUCCUCCGGGGCAAGACUUGCUUCAAUGGGGCUUUGGUGCUCACUGAGUCUGCCCCCUGAGUGUGUCUUU